rnacentral:rRNA from 1 species
AUUGAACGCUGGCGGAAUGCUUUACACAUGCAAGUCGAACGAUGAACCUUAGCUUGCUAAGGGGAUUAGUGGCGAACGGGUGAGUAAUGUAUCGGAACGUAUCCAAUAAUGGGGGAUAACUAGUCGAAAGAUUAGCUAAUACCGCAUACGUCCUACGGGAGAAAGCUAGGGACCUUCGGGCCUGGCGUUAAUGGAGCGGCCGAUAUCUGAUUAGCUAGUUGGUGGGGUAAAGGCUCACCAAGGCGACGAUCAGUAGCUGGUCUGAGAGGACGACCAGCCACACUGGAACGGAGACACGGUCCAGACUCCUACGGGAGGCAGCAGUGGGGAAUUUUGGACAAUGGGCGAAAGCCUGAUCCAGCCAUUCCGUGUGAGUGAAGAAGGCCUUCGGGUUGUAAAGCUCUUUCGCAAGGGAAGAAAACUUAAGCUCUAACAUAGCUUGAGGUUGACGGUACCUUGAUAAGAAGCACCGGCUAACUACGUGCCAGCAGCCGCCGUAA